AGAAGGCAGAGUCCUUGGGAUUCAGUCAGUGGAGAAGAAUGAAGGAUGGCCUCACUCGAAUUUUCAGUAAACUGGAGCUUCCAGGUGAGACCUUGGCCAGAGAGACCUCUGUGAAGUGCACACUUUGGGGGAACAUUUCUACUUUUCAACCUGAAUGAGCAAAGUGGCUGAUUUUUCACUGAGUGCCUGUUCCUGUCCAGCUACAGAAUCUACUGCCCGCUGUACUGACAGA